UACGAACCGUGCGAACGUUGUUCGGAUUCACUGGGCUUAAAGGGCGCGUAGGCGGCGGCUCAAGUCGGGGGUGAAAUCCUCUCGCUUAACGAGAGAAUUGCUUUCGAUACUGGGUCGCUGGAGGGAGAUAGGGGUGCGCGGAACUUCCGGUGGAGCGGUGAAAUGCGUAGAUAUCGGAAGGAACGCCGGUGGCGAAAGCGGCGCACUGGAUCUCUUCUGACGCUGAGGCGCGAAAGCCAGGGGAGCAAACGGG
rnacentral:rRNA from 1 species